rnacentral:miRNA from 2 species
AGCCUGCUGAGAGUGAAAUUGA